GAUGAACGCUAGCUACAGGCUUAACACAUGCAAGUCGAGGGGUAACGAGAGGAAAGCUUGCUUUCCUUGUCGACGACCGGCGCACGGGUGAGUAACGCGUAUCCAACCUGCCCCCAACUAGGGAAUAACCUUGCGAAAGUAAGACUAAUACCCUAUAAUUUCCUCAGAUGUCAUCUGACGAGGAAUAAAGAUUUAUCGGUUGUGGAUGGGGAUGCGUCUGAGUAGCUUGUUGGCGGGGUAACGGCCCACCAAGGCGACGAUCAGUAGGGGUUCUGAGAGGAAGGUCCCCCACAUUGGAACUGAGACACGGUCCAAACUCCUACGGGAGGCAGCAGUGAGGAAUAUUGGUCAAUGGGCGGAAGCCUGAACCAGCCAAGUAGCGUGCAGGAUGACGGCCCUAUGGGUUGUAAACUGCUUUUAUACAGGAAUAAAGUUAGCCACGUGUGGUUAUUUGUAGGUACUGUAUGAAUAAGGACCGGCUAAUUCCGUGCCAGCCGCCGCAGUAA
rnacentral:rRNA from 1 species